AAAUUCGAUACUUGGUGUGAAUUACAGAAUCCCGCGAACCAUCGAGUCUUUGAACGCAAGUUGAGCCCGAAGCCAUUAGGUUGAGGGCACGUCUGCCUGGGCGUCUCACAUUUUGUCGCUCGCGCCCCCUCCCCUUCCACGAAGGGGGGAAGAAAGGCGGCGGGCGAAUGUUGGCCCCCUGCGCGCGUUCGGCCCAAAAGUGAGUCCCUCGCGACGGACGAUGCGUUGCAACGAGUGGUGGUUGGCAAACCGUUGCGUCGCCUCGCGUGCAUCCGGUCCGUCUCGGGAGGCCUGUCGUGACCCUAUCGCGCCGCCGCCAAGGCGCUCCGAUCACGACCCCAGGUCAGGUGGGAUUUCCAGCUGAGUUUAA
rnacentral:misc_RNA from 1 species